rnacentral:ncRNA from 1 species
CUUUGCACACGCGGGAGCUCGGAGCACCGGGCUGAGAGGGCGCUGACCUCCGUAGAUCCGUACGGGAAGAGCUGCGCCGACCGCCGAACCUGUUACCGGGUAAUGCCGGCGUAGGGAGUAGGUCAGGAUGACCG